UACAGAGGCCUCAAGCGUUAGGCGGAAUCACUGGGCUUAAAGCGUGUGUAGGCGGAUCGUUAAGUGUCUUGUGAAAUCCCACGGCUCACCCGUGGAACGGCUGGGCAUACUGGCGAUCUUGGGCCAACUAGGGGCAACUGGAACAAGCGGUGGAGCGGUGAAAUGCGUAGAUAUCGCUUGGAACGCCGAAGGUGAAAACAGUCUGCUGGGGGUGUGCCGACGCUGAGACACGAAAGCCAGGGGAGCGAACGGG
rnacentral:rRNA from 1 species